ACAAAAGGACCUACAUCGGUUCAACCGCAGAAAGAUAACAAGUCCAUGAGAUGAUCUAUAAUUAAGUUCAAAAUUACUACAUGGUUAAUGUAUUUAACAUCAAGUCCAUGUAUUACUACAUGAGACUACAUCAGUUCUCAGGAAUUCUACUUCAGUUCAAUUUCUAAAUUUGGUUUAGUUCAAUUCAGUUCAAUAUAUUUGUGUCAAUUUCUUCUUGUGAUGCUUAUACAUAGCUGGAAAUGCAGAUGCUGUUGUUUUAGAAUUUAUCAUUUCGGUAUGGAAUUAGGUGCGGUGUAUAGUCACUGCUGUUUAUUAAGCCAGUUUGGUAGUACAUGAUAAAUACAUUAACCAUGCACCAGAUCCAGCGACCGGCGCUGCCCGCGCACCCAACAACCGGCGCCGCCCGCACAUCCAUCCUCCGGCGCCGCCCCCGAACCCAGCUACCGGCGUCGGCCCCGGACCCAACCACCGCCGCCGCCCUCGGACCCAGCCACCGCCGCCGCCCCCCGGACCCAGCCACUGCCGCCGCCCUCGGACCCAGCCACCGCCGGCGCACUCCGACCAGCCACCUCCGCCGCCCCCAAACCUAUCCACCUCCAUGGGCAACUGUUGCUGGCACUCUGCACCCACCCCCCUCCGCGCACCCAGCUCCCGCCGUCCGACGCGCUGCUUCCAACCUGCGCGGCCGGGAACCAGCCCCCGCCGCCCCUACGCACUACUUCCUCCCAUGCCCGUCCUGGUAUGGCGGUCACGCCAGUCCAGCUCUUCCUCCCUUCUCCGUCCGAGCUCUCCUGCCAUGCUCCUUCACGCACGAGCUUCUGCCGGCACCAGUGCACGCCGCUACACUGGUUCUUUUGGGGUUCAUUCAUCUGAUUUUAUUUUGUUUCCUAUUAUACUAGUUCAGAUGAGGUUCCUUGCUGCCUGAUGGAUAUUUGAUAAAGAAUUUCGAGGCGGACAAUUGCAAAAAUUCAGAGGAGACAACGCGGGAAGUUCAAAGAAAAUUCGGACUUGUGCAGUGGUGAAGGAGGAAGCAGCAGUGCCGCCGGGUCCAGGAUUCCAGCGCCCCAGCCGUUCAUUGCCACCAUCCUGGGUCGUUUAACAUGACAGCGCCAAGCCGUUCGAUGCCCAGCUCGGGAGGUGCUCGUCGCAGCUUUCCCCCCACCUCCCAUUGGAUGUUCAUGCUCCUUCUCUUGUGUACAUUCAGUUCAACAUCUGGUGGUUUUUCAGUUCACCUUAAAUGUGCAUUUUCAGCUUCAUCUUGCAGUGAAGAAGAUAUCCCUAUGAUACGUUUGUCACUCUGAUAGGUUCGUUCCAUCUCUUGGAGCUGUAUGGCUGACCAUUUUUGGUCAAAUUUGGCAAUUGUUAACUUAUGAAGCUACCGACUCAGGUGUUCAUUUCAUUGGUCAAUUGCUAGAUUUAGGCUUUGAGAUUACUGAGACAAUAAUCCAUGGACCAGUCUUCCAAUGUUAUCCUGUAGUUCAAUUAGUCUUGAGGUUAUUUAAUGUCUAGAAUGGGGUUUUGAUUGCUGCUGGUUGAACCUACAGACAACAUAGGUUUUGAUUGCUGCUGGUUUUUGUAUCUCAUGGUGGUUCGCACGUAUAAGAUGGGAUUUUCAUAGCUUUACAUUGUUGUUUUGGUUUGUGGCACAUAGAUGCUUUUGAAAAAUGUUCUGCACAUGUUUUGUUGGAUUCAGUUCCUCCCAAAAAAAGCACUACAGGAGGUUAAAACAACAUGGUUCUGCUUGCUUAUGUCAUUUUUCCCUUCACCGACAGAAAAACUAGUUCAACUGCAAAAGAAUACAUCAGUUCAACAUCCGAAAAACAUCAGUUAAAAAAAAACUUAAGUAUACGCCAUCAUGGAGCGCUUGCCUUCAAGAUUUAUCUCUUGUUCUUGUUUUUCCCUUUCCAGGUUUACGUUCUAGCAUAUCUUUUUCUCUCUUAUCAAUUACUCCCUCCGUAAAGAAAUAUAAGAGCGUUUAGAUUGCUACUUUAGUGAACUAAAUGAUCUUAUAUUUCUUUAUAGAGGGAGUACCUCAUCUAUCCUUCCUUGUAGAUGGAGAUGUGUGUAUGUAUACAUGUGUUAUGGAGAUAGAAGAACUUAUCUGGUGGUGUGUGUGCGCGCUGCUGCAUCCUCGUCCGGCCGCUCUAAUCCACACUCUCAGUACAACUUCCCUACGACCUCAUGUUCACAAAUCUUGUAGUACAUUUUUUUAAUAAAAAUCUUGUAGUACUAUGUAAACCAAGCGUGGCCAACACAUACUUUAGGUGUCGCGGUAGUACGCACUGUUGAUGGUGGCCUUCCUUUGUGGCGCUACUACUUUGCCACCUAGAGUAGUACUGCUACUACUUAUCAUGUUGCUAAAACCUAGCGAACAGUACAUGUAUUUGAUUAACGGUUCUGUAGGAAGAAAAAGUUCACUAAUAUAUAAUCUCUAGGUUUAUUAGAUUUUGUGUUAGUGCUUGUAACACAAUCAGUUUAGAUCUCCAUAGACCACAAGUUCAAGUUCACUAGCAUUUGUAAAUGCUGGUAGCAGUACUAGUAUUUACAAAUUUGUAACCUAAGAACUAAGCUUGCAUCUUGUUACUUCUAUGGAAGCAUUGACCUCGUAAUUUUAUUGUACGAACCACUAACAUAAGAAUUAGACAUGGUGCUCACUGUAUUCUCAAUCUUGGUUGUUCUUACAGUGCUUAUAAUCUUGACAUCUUUGAUGAAUCCAGCCCGAACUGAAGCAUGUCGGCAAGCCGGGCCUCAAAAGGCCCUUCUCCCGCUACUGCCUCGAUCUUGAACUGAUGUUGUUGUCAUCUGUCUACCUCCUCCCUUGGUUGAUGAAGAUGUUGAUUUUACAAAAGGAUCAGUGAAGCAUUGGGCAAUGGACACACUAUCUUCAUGAGAUGGUGUACUCCACGACAUACUUCCAUUAGUUGAAGAUGAUGCAUGGAGCAGUGACUGCUCAACACUUUUUUGUGAUAAAUGUUAUUAUGAUCUAUUCUAUGUAUUAUAUUGUAUGAUCGGGAGAACUCAGAAGUUCAUGUGUUGUCGGUGAAAAAUUUCAAAACAUUUUGUUUAGUAA